rnacentral:tRNA from 2 species
GGCUCGUUGGUCUAGGGGUAUGAUUCUCGCUUAGGGUGCGAGAGGUCCAGGGUUCAAAUCCCGCACGAGCCC